UCCUCGCGGACCGCGCGGAUGUGCGGGCGGAGAGCUGUCGCUACCACUUUCUCUGGAAGUUCAUUCCACACAGGCUCGUGUGUUAAAGUGACAGGCAGCUGGAAGCUCGGGUCUGUUUUUGCAGCAGAACGUAGAUCAUCAGUCGCCAUUUCCGCCACCUCCACUGAGAUGCUGCCAGACACAGGAUGAGGCUGUCACUGGCUCGGCCAGCAUUUAUUGCUGCGUUUACCCAGAGGGCAGUUAAGAAUCAACCACGUUGCUAUAGGUCUGGAGUCCCAUGCAGACCAGACCAGAUCCCAGUGAUCAGUGCCAAAGCCCCAUUGCCUGUGGAGAGGGUGAUGUUUGAUUUCCCUGUCCAGCUGCAGUUCAUGUGGUGAAGGUGCUCCCACAAUGUGGUUGGGUGGACAUUCAGAUGGUAAUCUCAGUAAUUGUAACGCCAAACUGUGACAAAAUUACUCAAUUCAUCAGGAGCUGGAUAUUCACAUUGUGUGGUGCUAGACGGUGAAGAUUUGCAGACUGAAAUCUCAAAAUCAUGUGCAGAUUGUGAUUAAGUUGCCUAGUGCUUAAAGAACCAAAGAUGGAGAAUGACUCUGCCAAAAUCCUGCAACACUCUCCCUCCCAGCAUUGUCAGUCUAUCUAUGCCAAAUGGACUGCGAAUGGUUCA